rnacentral:rRNA from 1 species
UGGGGAAUUUUGCACAAUGGGGGAAACCCUGAUGCAGCGACGCCGCGUGAUUUAGAAGGCCUUCGGGUUGUAAAAAUCUUUUCUAUGGGAAGAAAAUGACAGUACCAUAGGAAUAAGGACCGGCUAAUUACGUGCCAGCAGCCGCGGUAAUACGUAAGGUCCGAGCGUUGUACGGAAUCAUUGGGCGUAAAGGGUACGUAGGCGGGUAAGCAAGUUAGAAGUGAAAUCCUAUAGCUCAACUAUAGUAAGCUUUUAAAACUGCUCAUCUUGAGGUAUGGAAUGGAAAGUGGAAUUCCUAGUGUAGCGGUGAAAUGCGCAGAUAUUAGGAGGAAUACCGGUGGCGAAGGCGACUUUCUGGCCAUAACCUGACGCUGAGGUACGAAAGCGUGGGUAGCAAACAGG